UGGGAAUAUUGCGCAAUGGGCGAAAGCCUGACGCAGCCACGCCGCGUGAGUGAUGAAGGCCUUCGGGUUGUAAAGCUCUGUCGGGAGGGACGAAGGGGAAACCCUGACGGUACCUCGCAAGAAAGCACCGGCUAACUCUGUGCCAGCAGCCGCGGUAAUACAGAGGGUGCAAGCGUUGCUCGGAUUUACUGGGCGUAAAGCGUACGCAGACGGUGAGAAAGGUCGGAUGUGAAAGCCCCGGGCUCAACCCGGGAACUGCAUCCGAAACCAUCUCGCUCGAGUGUGGGAGAGGGAAGCGGAAUUCCUGGUGUAGAGGUGAAAUUCGUAGAUAUCAGGAGGAACACCGGCGGCGAAGGCGGCUUCCUGGCCCAUUACUGACGUUCAGGUACGAAAGCGUGGGUAGCAAACAGGAUUAGAUACCCUGGUAGUCCACGCCGUAAACGAUGUGUGCUGGAUGUCGGGGGUAUUCACCCCUCGGUAUCGAAGGCCAACGCGAUAAGCACACCGCCUGGGGAGUACGGCCGCAAGGUUGAAACUCAAAGGAAUUGACGGGGUCAUAGCU
rnacentral:rRNA from 1 species